GAUGAACGCUGGCGGCGUGCCUAAUACAUGCAAGUCGAGCGAACGGACGAGAAGCUUGCUUCUCUGAUGUUAGCGGCGGACGGGUGAGUAACACGUGGAUAACCUGCCUAUAAGACUGGGAUAACUUCGGGAAACCGGAACUAAUACCGGAUGAUAUUUUGAACCGCAUGGUUCAAAAGUGAAAGACGGUCUUGCUGUCACUUAUAGAUGGAUCCGCGCUGCAUUAGCUAGUUGGUAAGGUAACGGCUUACCAAGGCAACGAUGCAUAGCCGACCUGAGAGGGUGAUCGGCCACACUGGAACUGAGACACGGUCCAGACUCCUACGGGAGGCAGCAGUAGGGAAUCUUCCGCAAUGGGCGAAAGCCUGACGGAGCAACGCCGCGUGAGUGAUGAAGGUCUUCGGAUCGUAAAACUCUGUUAUUAGGGAAGAACAUAUGUGUAAGUAACUGUGCACAUCUUGACGGUACCUAAUCAGAAAGCCACGGCUAACUACGUG
rnacentral:rRNA from 1 species